GUUUUUCACGCUUUGGCGGUACAUAUACUAAAAUUGGAACGAUACAGAGAAGCAUGGCCCCUGCGCAAGGAUGACAUGCAAAUUCGUGAAGCGUUCCACAUUUUA
rnacentral:snRNA from 1 species